ACACAUGCAAGUCGAGGGGCAGCAUCAUCAAAGCUUGCUUUGAUGGAUGGCGACCGGCGCACGGGUGAGUAACACGUAUCCAACCUGCCGACAACACUGGGAUAGCCUUUCGAAAGAAAGAUUAAUACCGGAUGGCAUAGUUUUCCCGCAUGGGAUAAUUAUUAAAGAAUUUCGGUUGUCGAUGGGGAUGCGUUCCAUUAGGCAGUUGGCGGGGUAACGGCCCACCAAACCUACGAUGGAUAGGGGUUCUGAGAGGAAGGUCCCCCACAUUGGAACUGAGACACGGUCCAAACUCCUACGGGAGGCAGCAGUGAGGAAUAUUGGUCAAUGGACGAGAGUCUGAACCAGCCAAGUAGCGUGAAGGAUGACUGCCCUAUGGGUUGUAAACUUCUUUUAUACGGGAAUAAAGUGAGCCACGUGUGGCUUUUUGUAUGUACCGUAUGAAUAAGGAUCGGCUAACUCCGUGCCAGCAGCCGCGGUAAUACGGAGGAUUCGAGCGUUAUCCGGAUUUAUUGGGUUUAAAGGGAGCGUAGGCGGGUUGUUAAGUCAGUUGUGAAAGUUUGCGGCUCAACCGUAAAAUUGCAGUUGAUACUGGCGACCUUGAGUGCAACAGAGGUAGGCGGAAUUCGUGGUGUAGCGGUGAAAUGCUUAGAUAUCACGAAGAACUCCGAUUGCGAAGGCAGCUUACUGGAUUGUAACUGACGCUGAUGCUCGAAAGUGUGGGUAUCAAACAGGAUUAGAUACCCUGGUAGUCCACACAGUAAACGAUGAAUACUCGCUGUUGGCGAUAUACAGUCAGCGGCCAAGCGAAAGCAUUAAGUAUUCCACCUGGGGAGUACGCCGGCAACGGUGAAACUCAA
rnacentral:rRNA from 1 species